CCUACGGGAGGCAGCAGUGGGGAAUAUUGCACAAUGGGCGGAAGCCUGAUGCAGCGACGCCGCGUGAGGGAUGAAGGCCUUCGGGUUGUAAACCUCUUUCAGCAGGGACGAAGCGUGAGUGACGGUACCUGCAGAAGAAGCACCGGCUAACUACGUGCCAGCAGCCGCGGUAAUACGUAGGGUGCGAGCGUUGUCCGGAAUUACUGGGCGUAAAGAGUUCGUAGGCGGUUUGUCGCGUCGUUUGUGAAAACCCGGGGCUCAACUUCGGGCUUGCAGGCGAUACGGGCAGACUUGAGUGUUUCAGGGGAGACUGGAAUUCCUGGUGUAGCGGUGAAAUGCGCAGAUAUCAGGAGGAACACCGGUGGCGAAGGCGGGUCUCUGGGAAACAACUGACGCUGAGGAACGAAAGCGUGGGUAGCAAACAGGAUUAGAUACCCUGGUAGUCCACGCCGUAAACGGUGGGCGCUAGGUGUGGGUUCCUUCCACGGGAUCUGUGCCGUAGCUAACGCAUUAAGCGCCCCGCCUGGGGAGGUACGGCCGCGAGACGUAAACGUACAANAGAGUAGACGGCGUGAGACGUUGCCGAACGGACGACGACGAGGGAGGAGG
rnacentral:rRNA from 1 species